UCAAGUUAUUAAGGGUGCAGGGCGGAUGCCUUGGCACUAGGAGCCGAUGAAGGACGUGAUAAGCUGCGAUAAGCUUCGGGGAGUUGCACGUAAACUUUGAUCCGAAGAUUUCCGAAUGAGGAAACUCACUUAGAGUAAUGUCUAAGUAUCGUUAAGUGAAUACAUAGCUUAGCGAGGGGAACCCGGGGAACUGAAACAUCUAAGUACCCGGAGGAAGAGAAAGAAAUUCGAUUCCGUAAGUAGCGGCGAGCGAACGCGGAACAGGCCAAACCAAUGAAGUUUACUUCGUUGGGGUUGCGGACAUACAACAUGGAUGCAAUAUCGUAAAUGAAGAGAGUUGGAAAGCUCCGCCAUAGAAGGUAAUAGCCCUGUAGUUGAAACGAGAAAGCUACUAGUAUGAUCCAGAGUACCACGGGACACGUGAAACCCUGUGGGAAGCAGGAGGGACCAUCCUCCAAGCCUAAAUACUACCUAGUGACCGAUAGCGCAUAGUACCGUGAGGGAAAGGUGAAAAGAACCCCGGGAGGGGAGUGAAAUAGAACCUGAAACCCUGCACUUACAAGCUGUGGGAGCACAUUACUUGUGUGACCGCGUACUUUUUGUAGAACGGGCCAACGAGUUACGUUAAGUAGCAAGGUUAAGCACUUAAGGUGUGGAGCCGUAGCGAAAGCGAGUCUUAAAUGGGCGAUUAAGUUACUUGGCGUAGACCCGAAACCGGGCGACCUAUCCAUGAGCAGGUUGAAGCGAAAGUAAAAUUUCGUGGAGGACCGAACCCACGAGCGUUGAAAAGCUCGGGGAUGACUUGUGGAUAGCGGAGAAAUUCCAAUCGAACCCGGAGAUAGCUGGUUCUCCCCGAAAUAGCUUUAGGGCUAGCCUCAAGCGUAGAGAAACGGAGGUAGAGCACUGAAUGUCCUAGGGGGUAUUGCACUUACCGAAGACUAUCAAACUCCGAAUGCCGUUUUCUUUUACUUGGGAGUCAGACUGUGGGUGAUAAGAUUCAUAGUCAAAAGGGCAACAGCCCAGAUCGUCAGCUAAGGUCCCUAAAUGUACGUUAAGUGGUAAAGGAUGUGGGAUUGCACAGACAACCAGGAUGUUGGCUUAGAAGCAGCCACUCAUUUAAAGAGUGCGUAAUAGCUCACUGGUCGAGUGAUCCUGCGCCGAAAAUUUCCGGGGCUAAAACGUACUACCGAAGCUACGGCAUCAUUUAUGAUGGGUAGGGGAGCUUCGUAUGCAGGCUGAAGCAUGACCGUAAGGACAUGUGGACAGUAUACGAGUGAGAAUGUUGGCAUGAGUAGCGAGACGUGGGUGAGAAUCCCACGGGCCGUAAACCCAAGGUUUCCAGGGGAAGGUUCGUCCGCCCUGGGUUAGUCGGGACCUAAGCCGAGGCCGAAAGGCGUAGGUGAUGGACAACAGGUUGAUAUUCCUGUACCGCCAAUAAGCGUUUGAGAGAUGGAGUGACACAGUAGGAUAAGCUAACCGUACUGUUGGUUAUGUACGGCUAAGCAUUGAGGCAGUCUAAAUAGGCAAAUCCGUUUAGACAAUGCUAGGAUGUGAUGGGGAAGCCCUCCGGGGCGAAGUAGCUGAUUUCACACUGUCAAGAAAAGCUUCUAUCGAGUUUAAAGGCGCCCGUACCGUAAACCGACACAGGUGGGUGAGGAGAGUAUCCUAAGGCCAGCGAGAGAACUAUUGUUAAGGAACUCGGCAAAAUGACCCCGUAACUUAGGGAGAAGGGGUGCCUGUCUAUGACAGGCCGCAGAGAAUAGGCCCAAGCGACUGUUUACCAAAAACACAGGUUUCUGCUAAGUCGCAAGACGAUGUAUAGGAGCUGACGCCUGCCCGGUGCUGGAAGGUUAAGGGGAUCUGUUAGAGCAAUCGAAGCAGUGAACUUAAGCCCCAGUAAACGGCGGCCGUAACUAUAACGGUCCUAAGGUAGCGAAAUUCCUUGUCGGGUAAGUUCCGACCC
rnacentral:rRNA from 1 species